rnacentral:rRNA from 1 species
GUGCCAGCAGCCGCGGUAAUACGAAGGGGGCUAGCGUUGUUCGGAAUUACUGGGCGUAAAGGGCGCGUAGGCGGCUCUGUGCGUCGUGCGUGAAAGGCCUGGGCUCAACCCAGGAAUGGCGCACGAUACGACGGAGCUAGAGUGCAGGAGAGGAUGGUGGAAUUCCCAGUGUAGAGGUGAAAUUCGUAGAUAUUGGGAAGAACACCGGUGGCGAAGGCGGCCAUCUGGACUGCAACUGACGCUGAGGCGCGAAAGCGUGGGGAGCAAACAGGAUUAGAUACCCUGGUAGUCC